CCCAGGUGUUUUGCUAUCUUAUUGUUUAAACCCAUGAAUAUCUCUCCUCCGCGCUGUCGACGACGCUCCAUCUCCACCGGUUGCUCUUCUCCUUUACUCACGAUCCAUGCCGUUUCACCAUCUGAUGCGAAUUGAAGUCUUCCAGUCCUCUACACUUUCACUUAUCCUUCCAUGUCUUCCAUCACAAUUUUUUGGAGAUUUCAAUCGGCUCUCUGUUUAACUUUGGAUUUUUGAUUGGGGAGGGGGAUUAAUUUUUUUGUUUUGUUUCAUGAUUCUCCAGGCAUGGGGAAUGAGUAAGAGAAUCUAUGUGUUGUUGUUGAAAUCAGCAGGUUGAAUCAGAGUAUUCCAUUUUGCGAGUUUCAUCAAAGUAUCUACAUUAAUUCGCGGAAACCAAUAUCAACGAUGAGCCGUACUAUAGUGAUCAGUUCUUGGCUGCCGCCAUUGAUGCCACUAAAAAAGCUGGACAGGUCAUUCGUAAAGGGUUUUACGAGACCAAACAUGUUGAACACAAAGGCCAUGUUUAUUUUGUAUCUUUUCUCUCAAAUAACUUAACUUCAUUGCAAGAUUGCUUCUUGAUUUCAUCUCAAUCAUACAUAAGACCGAUAAUGAUUUGAAGAUUUCGUCUUUAAUCCUCUCAAGCAGCUUUUCCCAACCACAAGACGUAAUACAUGUAGAUGAGGUAAUGGAAAUCUUGGAAGAAAGAGACUCAAACAGUAGAGUAUCUAGCAGCAAACGAUCCAAAUAGGUUUAGAAUGACUGGAGACACCACAUUUGCUCGACGACACCUCAGUUCUUGGACUGAAACAUCGUUUCAACUUUAAAUUAUGGUUUUUUUUUGCUCAAGCAUUUGUCUCCAAGUUCUGGCCUCUUCUUCAGCACCAACAAUGUGUUUCUGAGAAGAAGAGCAAAGAUCUCGACUUUCAAACUUCGAUCAAACGCGAAGAUUAUGACGAUGAUGAUGAUGGUCUUUUCAGAGAAUAUGUAGUGAUGGUGAUGAAGUGCUUAGGCCUUCUCGCUGAUCCAUGAAGCGAGGGGCUUCAAACGACACAGUUCAAGGAGCUUUGUAAUCUGUUUGAAGAGAAAGUGCCAAGCUUGGAGAAAGUGAAGCAAGAAGACAUCAAACAGAGAUGGGUUUAUCGAUGCAAUAAAUUUGCCAAGAAUUUUGACUGCCCUUGGCUUAAAGCAAGGAUCUAACGGUAAGCGUUGCAGGAGAAUGAUCAGAUCAUUUGAUGGAAGUAAAGACGAAUCGAUUUCUAUUGAUUUGUGAAAUUCAUGGGGAACAAUCUAUUAGUUUAUUAUCCCUUUUUUCUUCUUGUCGUGUCUGUUAAUAUUGUUGUCCCAUAACCUUUUUAAAAUUUCUGAACUGUCAUCAAAAAUUCACUAAAACUAAUGAGAAUGGAGAUAAUUGUCACAGA